rnacentral:tRNA from 1 species
GGAGGGGUUCCCGAGUGGCCAAAGGGAGCAGACUGUAAAUCUGCCGGCUCCGCCUUCGAUGGUUCGAAUCCGUCCCCCUCCG